ensembl:lncRNA
GGGGAGGGAGGGAGGAAGAAAGGAAAGGAAGGGGGAGAGAAUGGGAGGGAGGUAGGUAUGAAGGAAGUGGGGGGAGGAAGGAAGGAAGAGAGGGAGUGAGAGAAAGUGACAGGAAAGCACGAAGGAAGGGAGGAAGGAAGUAAAGGAAGAGAGUAAAGACUGGAGGGAGGGAGGAAGGCAGGCAGGCAGAGAGAGAGGGAGGAAGAAAGGAAAGGAAGGGGGGAGAAGGGGAGGGAGGGAGGUAGGUAUGAAGAGAGGGAGUGAGAGAAAGUGACAGGAAAGUACGAAGGAAGGGAGGGAGGAAGUAAAGGAAGAGAGUAAAGACUGGAGGGAGGGAGGAAGGCAGGCAGGCAGAGAGGGAGGGAGGAAGAAAGGAAAGGAAGGGGAGGAGAAGGGGAGGGAGGUAUGAAGGAAGGAAGGAAGAGAGGGAGUGAGAGAAAGUGACAGGAAAGCACGAAGGAAGGGAGGAAGGAAGUCGAAGGAAGAAUGGAAGGAAGGAAGUAAAGGAAGAGAGUAAAGACUGGAGGGAGGGAGGGAGGCAUGGGGGGAGGGAGGAAGGCAGGAAGGAAGGCAGGCAGGCAGAGAAGGAGGGAGGGAGGAAGAAAGGAAAGGAAGGGGGGGAGAAUGGGAGGGAGGUAGGUAUGAAGGAAGUGGGGGAGGAAGGAAGGAAGAGAGGGAGUGAGAGAAAGUGACAGGAAAGCACGAAGGAAGGGAGGAAGGAAGUCAGGAGGGCAGAAUGGAAAGAAGGAAGUAAAGGAAGAGAGUAAAGACUGUAGGGAGGGAGGAAGGCAGGCAGGAAGGAAGGCAGGCAGAGAGGGAGGGAGGAAGAAAGGAAAGGAAGGGGGGGGAGGAAGGGGAGGGAGGGAGGUAUGAAGAGAAGGAGUGAGAGAAAGUGACAGGAAAGCACGAAGGAAGGGAGGAAGGAAAAAAGGCAGGGAGGGGAGGAAGGAAGGAAGAGAGGGAGUGAGAGAAAGUGACAGGAAAGCACGAAGGAAGGGAGGAAGGAAAAAAGGCAGGGAGGACGGGAGGGAGGAAGGAAGGAAGGGAGAAAGGCAGGCAGGCAGACAGGAAGGAAGAGAGCGAGGGAGGUAGGAAGGCAGGGAGGAAGGAGUGAGGGAGGGAGGCAGGAAGGGUGCUGGGAAUGAAGGAAGGAAAGGGAGGGAGGGAGGACAGGUGGGAGGAAUGUAGGAAGGAAGGGAGAGAGGAAAAGAGGCAGGCUGGAAGGGAGACACGAAGACAGGAAGGAAGACAGGCUAGAAGGCAGGGAGGGAGGGAGGACACGUGGGAGGGAGGCAGACAGGAAGGAAGGGAGGGAGGAAGGAAGGAAGAUAGGGAGGGAGGGAGGAAGGAUUACUUUUCAGAACUGCUCUCACCCUAGUUUUAUGUUCCCCAGGUAAAUUCAUAUUUGUAAAUCUUUUCUCCUGAGCUGAAGUACAGCCCUUCCAACCAGCCAUUAUAGUGCAAUUUGUUUCCUACCAAUUGUUCUUUUUUCAUUGUUGUUGCUGUUUUUUUAAAAAAACUUAAGGGAAAAAAGCAAUCUCUCUCCCAGUUGGUUCUUUCUUUUCAAAGUGUGUGGGCCUUUUUGGUUGUUUUUUUGUUGUUGUUGUUGUAGUUCUGUUCUUUUUUGUUGUUGUUGUUGUUUUAAACUCAGCUGUUGCUUGCAGUCUUUCCAGUCAGCUUGAAUGAUUAAUGUGGUGCCACUGACUUGUUCUGUGUUUUAUUAAAAAAAAAAAAAAUGCACGAUUCAUGUUUUCCAAAGAGCCAUUUAGGUAUCUCUGAUAGACCACACCAUGUAUGUUUUAAAUUCUUUGUGUGCUCAAUCAAAAUGUACGCAAAAAGGAAGCGUUUCCACAGAGAUGAAUAGAACAGUCAAGGUUAGAGACACAGGCUAAAAAAAAACAGUGCCUCUCAGUGAGCUGUGUAUUAGACUGUAAUCAUGACAAAGCCAGGUCUUAAUAUCCUACAUUCAUUUAAGGGAGGAGAUUUGUUUUUAUGCCUACUAUUUAUUUAGCUUGCCUAAAUUCAGUUUGAAUAGCAAAACAACUUUCCUGGUUUAGCUGCACUACCAAGUCAAGGUCAUUCCCCUUAGAGAAAGAUCAAGAUCCUUUAUAAGGGGAAAAAAAAAAUGACUCUCACACCAAUUGAUCUGCUGAACAUCAUUAGAGAAGGGUAAGAGAUAAUCUAAACAUGGUCCGUGCUUCAUUGACUCACAU